rnacentral:misc_RNA from 1 species
UCCCUAACUUUUCCAUGGCUUGGUCGAUGCAAGAGAGGCUCAUCUUUAAGUUGAGAUGAAUAUAGACCUGUGGAUGGCUUGUACCUAGAGGCAGUAAGGUCGGUAGCUGGUGAAAUAAUAGGACCACGCAAGCUAUAUAGCUCAGGUUCCUUCGGUGCAAAACCAUAAGGUUUCAGCGGAAGGCACGAUGAAUCCCAAAUUGAUCCCCCCAAAUUAUCAACUCGAUGCUUAUCAACUAGUGACGCAAAGUACGCUCCUUUGUCACG